AGCGAAAAAAGAAAACCCAAAACCCAAAGAAGGAGAUAAACCUCCCGUUCCAUUAACCGCCAAACCUUCCAAUCUACAGAACAAACUGAAAACACAACCUCAGUAUCAGCUCUCAUGUCAACUAGCAGUAACUUCUUCUUCCUAAAAUCCUAUUCUCCUCCUUUUCUCUUCUCUCCCAUCCCUAAAAUUUGUCUUUCCUUUCUCUCCCCUCCACUUCUCACUCCGCUCGCAUUUUCCCUACCAAAUACCUCCAUUUCUCUUCAAACUCCUCGCUCUUAUCUCUCCCUUUCCAAGUUAACUGCUCACAAAUACGAAGUUGAAGAAUUCGAAGACGAGGAAGAAAAUGAAGAAACAGAGAUUGACAAAUCUGACAGCGAGGAUUACGCGAUUGAUGUGGAUGCGCUCGAAGAGGAAGCUGAAGACGCUGUUAGAGAGUACUCUAGCUCCUUAUCUCGCCAAUUGAGAAUCGAUGAUGAAAUUGACGAUAAAAAGGAAACCAGAAAGCAUAAGAGGCAAAAAGCAACUUCUCCAGAAAUCCCUGACCAUCUCCUUCCUAGGGUUGCAAUUGUGGGGAGGCCAAAUGUUGGCAAAUCAGCACUCUUUAACCGGCUUGUUGGAGGGAACAGGGCAAUUGUGGUCGAUGAACCUGGUGUUACUCGUGAUCGUUUAUAUGGUAGAUCCUUUUGGGGAGAAAAUGAAUUUAUGGUUGUGGAUACUGGAGGUGUUCUCACCGUAUCGAAAUCACAGGCGACUGUCAUGGAAGAAUUGGCUAUAAAAACUACCAUUGGCAUGGAUGGGAUUCCACUUGCCUCCAGGGAGGCAGCUGUCGCCAGGAUGCCCUCAAUGAUUGAGAAACAAGCUACUGCAGCUGUGGAAGAAUCAUCUGUUAUUAUAUUCCUUGUUGAUGGUCAGGCAGGUCUAACAGCAGCUGAUGUGGAGAUAGCAGACUGGUUACGCAAACACUAUUCGGAUAAAUAUAUCAUUCUUGCAGUUAACAAAUGUGAAUCUCCCCGUAAAGGAAUCAUGCAAGCAUCAGAAUUCUGGUCAUUGGGGUUUUCACCACUUCCCAUUUCUGCCUUAUCUGGAACGGGGACUGGGGAGCUUUUAGAUCUUGUAUGUUCCCAGCUGGCAAAAAUAGAGGAUCCACAAGAUCUUGGUGAAGAGGAAAAUUAUAUUCCUGCAAUUGCAAUUGUGGGCCGACCUAAUGUUGGUAAAAGCAGCAUUUUGAAUGCAUUAUUGAGAGAAGAUAGAACAAUUGUCAGCCCUAUCAGUGGUACUACUCGUGAUGCUAUUGAUACUGAAUUUUCAGGACCAGAUGGCCAGAAGUUCCGGCUUAUUGAUACUGCUGGUAUCAGAAGAAGGGCAGCUGUGGCUUCAUCUGGUAGUGUGACAGAGGCUCUAUCAGUGAACCGAGCAUUUCGUGCUAUCCGCCGUUCUGAUGUUGUUGCUCUUGUCAUAGAGGCCAUGGCUUGUAUCACAGAGCAGGAUUAUAGGAUUGCUGAGAGGAUUGAAAAAGAAGGGAAGGGCUGCCUGAUUGUUGUAAACAAAUGGGAUACAAUACCCAAUAAAAACCAGCAAACUGCAAUGUAUUAUGAACAAGAUGUUCGAGAGAAGCUUCGUACUCUUCAUUGGGCACCUGUUGUCUAUUCAACUGCAAUUGCUGGUCGUAGUGUUGAAAAGAUCAUUGAUGCUGCUAGUGCUGUUGAAAAGGAAAGAUCUAGAAGGCUAAGUACUGCCAUACUGAAUCAAGUGGUGGGAGAAGCAUUGGCUUUCAAAUCACCUCCAAGAACCCGAGGUGGAAAGAGAGGACGUAUUUACUAUUGUACUCAGGCAGCCAUCAGACCACCUACAUUUGUUUUCUUUGUGAAUGAUGCAAGCCUUUUCCCUGAGACAUACCGGCGCUAUAUGGAGAAGCAACUGCGAUCAGAUAUAGGAUUUUCUGGUACACCCAUUCGGCUACUUUGGCGCAGCAGAAGGAAAAUGGAAAAAAGCGAAGUUAAGGGUACAACACGUCCACAGCUUAAUAUUGUACAGCGUGGCUGAAAGUCAGCUCUAAUGCAUGAUAUAUACAAGACAGUUGGGAUUUCAUUUUCCGUCCCAAAACAAGCUCUUCGUAAGUUUGUGCAGACCGGUCCAUAUCGAGCCCAAAUUGAAGAAUGGUGGUGGAGAGACGCAAGUUUGUCGUUCACUUCUCGUUGUCCGCCAAUACAAUAAGGGGAGCUUAAAGUCAUUGACGGAGAAAAGACGGUGCACCGCCAAUAAUAGUCCAACUAACACUCGGCCUAUGUAGGGGGUCCAUAUUCUUUCCAUUAAAAUGGCAAUUUUACUAACGUGUCUACCAGCAGUGCUGCAUCAAACAUCAUCCAUCCUAUAUCAGAUGAACAAGAUUAGAGGAUUUUGAAUUUUAAAUACUUAAUCUAGUAAGUAGUUUUAAAAAACAAGCAAUUAUUCAGUAAUGAAAUUGGGUUGGGUUGGGUGGUUGAAGAUUUUAUUGCGAGGGGAGGGUUCCAGAUUCCAAAUUCAUUUAGCAAAAACUAUCAUUUAUAUCUCUUAUUUCGUCCUCUUCUUUGUCAACAGUAUCAGAUUACUGCUAUGUGGUGUUGCUAGCGUCUCGAAUUCAUUUGCCUUAUUCAUACACACACCAAACCUCAACUACUUUUCGUAUGUUAUAAAUGGCAUCAAAAUGUCAAUCAGCCUUAUGUUUCACACACACACCAAACCUCAACUGCUUUUCGUAUGUUAUAAAUGGCAUCAAAAUCUAGUCUAGUUGGUUUUAUCCGUUGUAAAAGUAACGAGAGAAAUUUGCGCGUUGUUCUAACAAAGAAAGGCCCCUCCAGAAAGAGUUCCAAAUUUGAAGCCCAAGAAAGGAACAAUGCUUCUUCUAUUUAUGAUUGACAAGCACAGAACAG